GAGCAACGCCGCGUGAGUGAAGAAGGGUUUCGGCUCGUAAAGCUCUGUUGUUAAAGAAGAACGUGGGUGAGAGUAACUGUUCACCCAGUGACGGUAUUUAACCAGAAAGCCACGGCUAACUACGUGCCAGCAGCCGCGGUAAUACGUAGGUGGCAAGCGUUAUCCGGAUUUAUUGGGCGUAAAGCGAGCGCAGGCGGUCUUUUAAGUCUAAUGUGAAAGCCUUCGGCUCAACCGAAGAAGUGCAUUGGAAACUGGGAGACUUGAGUGCAGAAGAGGACAGUGGAACUCCAUGUGUAGCGGUGAAAUGCGUAGAUAUAUGGAAGAACACCAGUGGCGAAGGCGGCUGUCUGGUCUGUAACUGACGCUGAGGCUCGAAAGCAUGGGUAGCGAACAGGAUUAGAUACCCUGGUAGUCCAUGCCGUAAACGAUGAUUACUAAGUGUUGGAGGGUUUCCGCCCUUCAGUGCUGCAGCUAACGCAUUAAGUAAUCCGCCUGGGGAGUACGACCGCAAGGUUGAAACUCAAAAGAAUUGACGGGGGCCCGCACAAGCGGUGGAGCAUGUGGUUUAAUUCGAAGCUACGCGAAGAACCUUACCAGGUCUUGACAUCUUCUGCCAACCUAAGAGAUUAGGCGUUCCCUUCGGGGACAGAAUGACAGGUGGUGCAUGGUUGUCGUCAGCUCGUGUCGUGAGAUGUUGGGUUAAGUCCCGCAACGAGCGCAACCCUUAUUACUAGUUGCCAGCAUUCAGUUGGGCACUCUAGUGAGACUGCCGGUGACAAACCGGAGGAAGGUGGGGACGACGUCAAAUCAUCAUGCCCCUUAUGACCUGGGCUACACACGUGCUACAAUGGAUGGUACAACGAGUCGCGAAACCGCGAGGUUUAGCUAAUCUCUUAAAACCAUUCUCAGUUCGGACUGUAGGCUGCAACUCGCCUACACGAAGUCGGAAUCGCUAGUAAUCGCGGAUCAGCAUGCCGCGGUGAAUACGUUCCCGGGCCUUGUACACACCGCCCGUCACACCAUGAGAGUUUGUAACACCCAAAGCCGGUGGGGUAACCUUUUAGGAGCUAG
rnacentral:rRNA from 1 species